AGAAAAAGAUUUCAAUAUUCACUGGACAGGGACACCAAAAAAAUAGCAAAACUUAAUUUCAAAAAAGGCUACCACUGAUAGCAGUUUUCCGCUCAAAAUCUUGGAAGAAAGUAUUAUAUCUCUACGAGGUAAAACGUUAUUUUAAAAAAAAAAUUGGAUCGAAAUGAAGCACCCACAGAGCCUGCUGUAUAUAAGUUUGAUGCAAAAAUGGACAAAACCCAUGGUCCACAUCGUCCUCAACAUUUCACUCAAUAACCUGAGGAGAAUUCUGGAAAAAAAUCUUCGAUUAUUUGAUAAAAAGGAUUUUUUGACGCAGAAAUUGAAGGCACACUUUGCAAUUUUCUUCCUUAACGCAGAUUCGAUGGGACAGUUUUCUGCGGAAAAUAAUUGAAUUUUCAUAAUUGAGGCUAUGGAAACCAUUUCGGUCAACGGUGGAAGUUACAGACCUUUAUUUAUGGGUCCUUUUUAACUGGAAUUGAAUACUUGAAUUUUGACGAUCUUUGGAUGAUGUAAGAUGAUGCGCGAUCAAUCUGUUUUGCAUGAAAUUCCCAAAUAGUGUUUUAGCAGUUUAGGCGAUAUCAGUUGGCAGCCUCGGAAAAGAUUCAAGCACUUGAAGCCAAUUUCAUCCAAACAAAUAGCUGCAGCCCGAAAACAUCAACAAGGUCUGUUAAAAUUAGAAUGACAGAUUGUGUUUAAGCCAGCCGAGGCACUCAUUUCAACGUUCCACAAUACUCGUCAACAAGUUUUUUUUUUUAAAUUGAUAACUUGAGCCUUGAGUGGAAUUCGACUUCGAAAUCAAUUUAUCAGGUCAGGUUUUUGAGAUAUAACCUUAUGAAAUUGAAAAA